GAUAUCAAUGAGUGCGACGAUCCUGCCAUUGCUGCCAGAUGUGUGGAAAAUGCCGAGUGUUGCAAUUUACCAUCUCACUUCCUUUGCAAGUGCAAUCCUGGAUUUCGAGGCGAUGGAGAGGUCCAGUGCCUCGAUAUCGACGAAUGCCAACAACCAAACAUCUGUGGACAAAACUCUCUGUGCCAAAACACCCCCGGAAACUAUUCCUGCGUGUGUCCCGAAGGAUUUUACGGUAACCCCUAUGACGGAUGCGUGGAUUUAGACGAAUGCCAACAACCAGGAGCUUGCGGACCAGGUGCCAUAUGUACGAAUGUAGUGGGAGGCAGGCAGUGUCAUUGCCCACCAGGUUUCGAAGGUGAUGCUUACACAACAGGAUGCUUAGAUCUCAACGAAUGCGCAAGAAGUCCCUGCGGUCGGAACGCCCUCUGUUCCAACUUGGAGGGUAGUUUCAAGUGCUCGUGCCCUCCAGGAUACCUAGGUGACCCCAUGA